rnacentral:rRNA from 1 species
CCCUUAGAUGUUCUGGGCAGCACGCGCGCUACAAUGGUCUUCGCAAACGGAUGCAUUCUCGAAGGAGAAUGCCAAUCUUGGAAUCUAUGCCUUGGUCGGGACAGUUGCUUGCAAUUUUUCGACUCGAACCAGGAAUUCCUUGUAAUCGUGAUUCAUCACAUCACGAUGAAUACGUCCCUGCCCUUUGUACACACCGCCCGUCGCUCCUACCGAUCGAAGAGUUAGGUGAAUUGUUUUGAUCGAUAAGAUUUGACUAUGGUCAACUCUCGUUGUGAAAUUCUGUAAAUCUGACUGUUUAGAGGAAGGAAAAGUCGUAACA